rnacentral:rRNA from 1 species
AACGAACGCUGGCGGCAGGCCUCAUACAUGCAAGUCGAGCGAUUAAGACUCCUUCGGGAGUGUAUAAAGCGGCGAACGGGUGAGUAACAGGUGGAUGAUCUACCUUCCGGUGGGGGAUAACGGCUGGAAACGGCCGCUAAUACCGCAUUCGGUUAAUACGCUGUGGCGUAUUAAAGAAAGGCGCCUCAAAGCGCCGCCGGGAGAUGAGUCCGCCCCCCAUUAGCUAGUUGGUGAGAUAACAGCUCACCAAGGCAACGAUGGGUAGCCGAACUGAGAGGUUGAUCGGCCACACUGGAACUGAGACACGGUCCAGACACCUACGGGUGGCAGCAGUAGGGAAUAUUGGGCAAUGGGCGAAAGCCUGACCCAGCCAUGCCGCGUGAGUGAUGAAGGUCCUAGAGACCUUGUAAAACUCUUUUCUGAGGAAAGAAUGAAUAGGGAAGGAAAUGUCCUUAUUUUGUACGGUACCUCAGGAAUAAGGAACGGCUAACUCCGUGCCAGCAGCCGCGGU